UCGGGAAUAUUGCGCAAUGGAGGAAACUCUGACGCAGUGACGCCGCGUAUAGGAAGAAGGUCUUCGGAUUGUAAACUAUUGUCGUUAGGGAAGAAAAAGGACAGUACCUAAGGAGGAAGCUCCGGCUAACUACGUGCCAGCAGCCGCGGUAAUACGUAGGGAGCAAGCGUUAUCCGGAUUUAUUGGGUGUAAAGGGUGCGUAGACGGGAAUUUAAGUUAGUUGUGAAAUCCCUCGGCUCAACUGAGGAACUGCAACUAAAACUGGAUUUCUUGAGUGCUGGAGAGGAAAGCGGAAUUCCUAGUGUAGCGGUGAAAUGCGUAGAUAUUAGGAGGAACACCAGUGGCGAAGGCGGCUUUCUGGACAGUAACUGACGUUGAGGCACGAAAGUGUGGGGAGCAAACAGG
rnacentral:rRNA from 1 species